GAUGAACGCUCGCGGGAGGCCUAACACAUGCAAGCCGAGCGGUAGAGUUUCUUCGGAAACUUGAGAGCGGCGCACGGGUGCGUAACACGUGUGCAACCUACCUUUAUCUGGGGGAUAGCCUUUCGAAAGGAAGAUUAAUACCCCAUAAUAUAAUGAUUGGCAUCAAUUAUUAUUGAAAACUCCGGUGGAUAGAGAUGGGCACGCGCAAGAUUAGAUAGUUGGUGAGGUAACGGCUCACCAAGUCAAUGAUCUUUAGGGGUCCUGAGAGGGAGAUCCCCCACACUGGUACUGAGACACGGACCAGACUCCUACGGGAGGCAGCAGUGAGGAAUAUUGGACAAUGGGUGAGAGCCUGAUCCAGCCAUCCCGCGUGAAGGAUGACGGUCCUAUGGAUUGUAAACUUCUUUUGUACAGGGAUAAACCUACCCUCGUGAGGGUAGCUGAAGGUACUGUACGAAUAAGCACCGGCUAACUCCGUG
rnacentral:rRNA from 1 species